AGAGACAGCAGCCGCCGCGGUAAUACGAAGGGUGCAAGCGUUAAUCGGAAUUACUGGGCGUAAAGCGCACGUAGGCGGAUCGAUCAGUCAGGGGUGAAAUCCCAGAGCUCAACUCUGGAACUGCCUUUGAUACUGUCGAUCUGGAGUAUGGAAGAGGUGAGUGGAAUUCCGAGUGUAGAGGUGAAAUUCGUAGAUAUUCGGAGGAACACCAGUGGCGAAGGCGGCUCACUGGUCCAUUACUGACGCUGAGGUGCGAAAGCGUGGGGAGCAAACAGGAUUAGAUACCCGCGUAGUCCCUGUCUCUUAUAC
rnacentral:rRNA from 1 species